AGUCUCCAUUACUCCAUUCCCUCUCCAAGACCUAAGCAACCACUAAUCUGCUUUCUGCCUCUGUAAAUAAGACCAGAAAUUCCCAUUCCUGAAGAGUUAGAUGAUGAUGAAGAUGAUGAGGAUGUGGAUCUUUCAGUUCCUGGCUCUUGCUAUCUCAAACUGUUGUCACUCACUCCCCCUUUGGUUUUACCAGCUUUGGAGGAAUUUUUUACAUCACUUGUGAAGCAAGAAAUGGUGAAUAUGCCUCGUGGGAUAUAUCACUCUGCAUUAAAAGGAGGUGUCCGCUCAGACCAAGGAAAGACUGUAGCAGGAAUCCCCAAUUUUAUAUUGAAAAUGUAUGAAACAAACAAGCAACCAGGAUUGAAACCUGGCCUUGCAGGUGGUAUGUUAUUUUGCUAUGAUGUUUCCAUGUAUCAGAGUAAAGAUGGAAAACCAUUGAAUAGACUGAUGGCCAGCAGAGGGCGAAGUUUCAAGCAGACAUCACUUGCUCUUGUACAUGAGGUUCAUAUCCAGCUUUCAGAGUGGCACCGUGCGAUUUUUCUUCCACAGGCCUG
rnacentral:sRNA from 1 species